CCUACGGGUGGCUGCAGUGGGGAAUAUUGCACAAUGGGGGAAACCCUGAUGCAGCCAUGCCGCGUGUGUGAAGAAGGCCUUCGGGUUGUAAAGCACUUUCAGCGAGGAGGAAAGGUCAGUAGCUAAUAUCUGCUGACUGUGACGUUACUCGCAGAAGAAGCACCGGCUAACUCCGUGCCAGCAGCCGCGGUAAUACGGAGGGUGCAAGCGUUAAUCGGAAUUACUGGGCGUAAAGCGCACGCAGGCGGUUGGAUAAGUUAGAUGUGAAAGCCCCGGGCUCAACCUGGGAAUUGCAUUUAAA
rnacentral:rRNA from 1 species